rnacentral:tmRNA from 1 species
GGGGGUGCACCGGUUUCGACUGGUACGGCUCGGGGUGCAGGCUGCAGGUGGAGCGCCGAUCUCCUGAUUCGGCAAAACAUUAACUGCCAACAACGACAGUUACGAUUACGCCUUAGCUGCGUAACCGCGUGGAACCCUUCCGCCGCCUUGAGGAAGGACUUCCGCGUCGCAAUCAAGGCUGGCCCAUCGUCGCGUACGGACGCCGAGCGGUAAGAUUUUUCCGUAAUACGGAUGGGCCGCAUGCCGCACAGCCAAGCCCGUCCCGACAAUACGAUGCGCGGCUAAACCUGUAGACGCUUGUAUUUCGCGUAUUAGGACGCGGGUUCGACUCCCGCCACCUCCAA